UACAGAGGGUGCGAGCGUUAAUCGGAAUUACUGGGCGUAAAGCGCGCGUAGGCGGCUUUGCAAGUCGGGUGUGAAAGCCCCGGGCUCAACCUGGGAAUUGCAUUCGAGACUGAAUAGCUAGGGUACGGUAGAGGGAAGUGGAAUUUCCGGUGUAGCGGUGAAAUGCGUAGAUAUCGGAAGGAACAUCAGUGGCGAAAGCGACUUCUGGACCAGUACCGACGUUCAGGCACGAAAGCGUGGGAGCAAACAG
rnacentral:rRNA from 1 species